UACGUAGGGGGCAAGCGUUGUCCGGAAUCAUUGGGCGUAAAGAGCGUGUAGGCGGCUUGGUAAGUCCGCUGUGAAAGUCCAGGGCUCAACCCUGGAAUGCCGGUGGAAACUACCAAGCUGGAGUACGGUAGGGGCAGAGGGAAUUUCCGGUGGAGCGGUGAAAUGCGUAGAGAUCGGAAAGCACACCAACGGCGAAAGCACUCUGCUGGGCCGACACUGACACUGAGAGACGAAAGCUAGGGGAGCGAACAGG
rnacentral:rRNA from 1 species